rnacentral:rRNA from 1 species
CUAAUGCCGGAUAUUGUGGUCUACUGCACAGUAGACUAACGAAAGAUUUAUUGUUGUGGGAUGAGCUUGCGUCCGAUUAGCUAGUUGGCGGGGUAAUAGCCCACCAAGGCGACGAUCGGUAGCCGGCCUGAGAGGGUGAUCGGCCACAUUGGGACUGAGAUACGGCCCAGACUCCUACGGGAGGCAGCAGUAGGGAAUAUUGCACAAUGGGGGAAACCCUGAUGCAGCAACGCCACGUGUGGGAAGAAGCAUUUCGGUGUGUAAACCACCGUCAUGAGGGAAUAAGGCCCGCCUCCGGGCGGGAUUGAAUGUACCUUGAGAGGAAGCACCGGCAAACUUCGUGCCAGCAGCCGCGGUAAUACGAGGGGUGCAAGCGUUGUUCGGAAUUACUGGGCGUAAAGGGAGCGUAGGCGGAGAUUCAAGCGGAUUGUACGAUCCCGGGGCCCAACCCCGGCUCUGCAGUCCGAACUGGAUCUCUUGGAUAGUUCAGGGGCAGGCGGAAUUCCUGGUGUAGCGGUGGAAUGCGUAGAGAUCAGGAAGAACACCGAUGGCGAAGGCAGCCUGCUGGGGACUUAUCGACGCUGAGGCUCGAAGGUGCGGGUAACAAACAGGAUUAGAUACCCUGGUAGUCCGCACCGUAAACAAUGCAUACUGGGUGUCCGGGGGUUCCCCCGGGUACCGUAGCCAACGCGUUAAGUAUGCCGCCUGGGGAGUACGUACGCAAGUAUGAAACUCAAAGGAAUUGACGGGGGCCCGCACAAGCGGUGGAGCAUGU